rnacentral:lncRNA from 1 species
CACGAAACAUAAAACAUAGCAAACCAUAUCAAUUUCAUAGCUAAAUUAGCUACGAUUUUGCUACGAAUGUAAACGUAGCAACAAACUGCUACGAUUUUGCUACGAAUAUUAUGUGACUAAUAUACAAAAUGUCUUCUAGCUACGAUUUGCCACGAAAAUUUUCGUGGCUAUUUGAAUCCCUAUACCCUAAACAUGUUUCUAACCCCUAAACUCUAAAAAUAAACUUUAAACUCCAAUAUUUUCGUAUUAUAACUUCAAAAUCUUAAAGUUAAACUCAAAUUUAAUCACUUUUAAAAUAACUUUUCAAAUUUUAAAUCUAAACUCAAACACUAUAUUUCAAACCCUAAACUCUAUAUAUACUCUAUACCCAAAUCAUAAAUCUAAACAUUAACUCUAAUAUUUUCAAAGUUUAACAAACAAAUAUCAACUUAAACUCAAAAUUUAAUAUUUUUAAAAAAUUAUUUCCAAAACUACUAAACUUCAAACACUAUAUUCCAAACCAUAUACUAUAACUCUAAAUCUUGUACCCCAAAUCAUAAAAUCCAAA